AUGAAGGUGACGGAUAGUCGGGGUGUGGGCCAUGGAAGAGCCGUCGGUUAUCUAAUGUUUAGUGAGGAUAUAGAGGUGCCGACUUAGCAGAGUGCAUGGGCUAUAGAAGUGCCGACUUUGCAGAGUGUAUGGGCUAUAGAAGUGCCGACUUUGCUUAUUUGCCCUUUUUUAAUUGGUCUGCUUAUUUUAAGACCACCCGUAGUGGAAACAAAUUUGGGCGUUUUUCUUCAAAAUAACGCCCCAUCAACCGCCCCCGGGAGUUGUUGAGCAAUUAUUUGGGUUGAGCGUCCUUUUUUCCACGCCUUCUUCCUUAUACUUGGCCAAUAGCAUUUUUUCUUCGUGUUUAGUUUUGUUUUUAUUAGAUUCUAUUAGAUUUUUAUGCCCCACAAGAUUUCAAGCCCCACUACAUGGCGCAAAACGCCGGUCUUCCCCUCCUACUACACAUAUUCUAAGCAUAAAGAUGGGAAAUAAUGAAUGUCGUUAAUUCUGUUUAUUUAGUCAUUUGAUUUUAAUUCAAAAACAUUUUACUUGCAUGCAACUGCUAUAAUGGAGCGAGGUUUAUUCAUUCUAAUUCUAAUUAUUACACCCACAUAUACUAAUUAAGCCUCACACAUCAGGACCAGAGCAAACAUAUUCGUAACUAACUUUCGAAAAGACCAGUUCUAGCUCCAGUAGUUAGUUGAACCCCACCAGUUGCAUGGUGACCCUUUCCAGAAGCAUGGUCAUCCCUGGCCCGACCCUUUGACCCCACCUUACGUCUCAUCUGGUCAUACGACUCAACCCCGGUUCGACGCUCACCGGUCACGUACCUAUACAUCCACGAAAACACCGUUGCAGCCGCAAGCCCAAACCCUCCGGAUGUCAAAAAACCGGUUGCCAAUAGAAACACGGUCAUAACCGCGGGCACUAGCACCGGACUAAAAAUCACGAGUAAGGGCGUUGCCACGGUCAGUGUAAUUACCGUCCCUACGAGUGUUAGACCCGACAGGACGAGUAACGAACCACCUGCGGUUGCUGCGGUGGCUGCUUUUACUACCUGGUGGGCCCGUGAUUCGUUAUACUGCCGGUGGUGCAUUGCUUGGCCUCUGUGGUGGUAGAAGUCGGUCAUUUUGUGGUGGUGGUGGUGGUUGUUUGUGAGGGUUAUAAAUAGAGAGGAGGUGUAGGCGAGGGUUACGUGUUGGAAGGAUGGUGUCACGUGUACGAGACUAUGAGAGCUGAUUGUCACUUGUUUAACGUUUGCAAGCUUUGUCUGAAAGACAUGUGUUUUUGUCUUUGUGUGUUCGGUUAUUGGAUUUCUAUAAUUGGGCUUAGUCCGUAAAGGAUUUACAUAAGAACUAAGGCCCACUAGUAUAAUGUAUAAGUUUUGUCAGGUAAAUUGGUAAUGGGGUUUACAUUUGU
rnacentral:lncRNA from 1 species